rnacentral:rRNA from 1 species
GAUGCCUAUACUGCAAUCGAGCGGAGUUAACCUUCUUGCCCAAACUUAGCGGCGGACGGGUGUAUCCCACGUAGGUAACCUGCCUGUAAGACUGGGAUAACUACCGGAAACGGUAGCUAAGACCGGAUAGCUGGUUUUCUCGCAUGAGGAGAUCAUGAAACACGGAGCAAUCUGUGGCUUACGGAUGGGCCUGCGGCGCAUUAACUGGUUGGUGGGGUAACGGCUCACCAAGGCGACGAUGCGUAGCCGACCUGAGAGGGUGAACGGCCACACUGGGACUGAGACACGGCCCAGACUCCUACGGGAGGCAGCAGUAGGGAAUCUUCCGCAAUGGGCGCAAGCCUGACGGAGCAACGCCGCGUGAGUGAUGAAGGUUUUCGGAUCGUAAAGCUCUGUUGCCAAGGAAGAAAUGUAAGGAGAGUAACUGCUCUUUACUUGACGGUACUUGAGAAGAAAGCCCCGGCUAACUACGUGCCAGCAGCCGCGGUAAUACGUAGGGGGCCAGCGUUGUCCGGAAUUAUUGGGCGUAAAGCGCGCGCAGGCGGUUUUUUCAAUCUGGGGGUUAUUUGCAGGGCUCACCCCUGUAUCGCCUUGGAAACUGGGAAACUGAAUUGUAGGAAAAGAAAGUGGAACUCCACGUUGUACCGGUGAAAUUGCCUAUAGAUGUGGAAGAAACCCGGUGGGGAAAGGCGAAUUUCUGGCCUAAAACUGAACCCGAAGCGGCCGAAACCGCGGGGGGCCCACCUGGAUUUGAAUACCCUGGGUAAUCCCAGGCCCUAAAACGAUAGAUGGUUAAGGGGUGUUAGGGGUUUCCGUAACCCUUUGGCGGCCCUAAGUUAAACCAGGAAAGGACUUCUGGCCCGGGGGGAGGACGCCCCC